GGAUGAACGCUAGCGGCAGGCUUAACACAUGCAAGUCGAGGGGCAGCACGGGUAGCAAUACCUGGUGGCGACCGGCGCAAGGGUGCGUAACGCGUGAGCAACAUGCCCUAUACAGGGGGAUAAUCCAGGGAAACUUGGUCUAAUAUCCCAUAGUAUUUAGAGGAGGCAUCUUCUAUAAAUUAAAGCUUCGGUGGUAUAGGAUUGGCUCGCGUGACAUUAGCUAGAUGGUGAGGUAACGGCUCACCAUGGCAAUGAUGUCUAGGGGUUCUGAGAGGAAGGCCCCCCACACUGGGACUGAGACACGGCCCAGACUCCUACGGGAGGCAGCAGUGGGGAAUAUUGCACAAUGGAGGGAACUCUGAUGCAGCGACGCCGCGUGAGUGAAGAAGGUCUUCGGAUCGUAAAACUCUGUCCUUGGUGAAGAAAAGGACGGUAGCCAAGGAGGAAGCCCCGGCUAACUACGUGCCAGCAGCCGCGGUAAUACGUAGGGGGCGAGCGUUGUCCGGAUUUACUGGGCGUAAAGGGUGAGUAGGCGGUUAUAUAUGUCAGGUGUAAAAAGCUAUGGCUUAACCAUAGUAAGCACUUGAAACUGUAUGACUUGAGUGCAGGAGAGGUAAGCGGAAUUCCUAGUGUAGCGGUGAAAUGCGUAGAUAUUAGGAGAAACACCGGUGGCGAAGGCGGCUUACUGGACUGUAACUGACGCUGAGUCACGAAAGCGUGGGUAGCAAACAGGAUUAGAUACCCUGGUAGUCCACGCUGUAAACGAUGAGUGCUAGGUGUUGGGUAGCGAUAUUCAGUGCCGGAGUAAACACAAUAAGCACUCCGCCUGGGGAGUACGGUCGCAAGACUGAAACUCAAAGGAAUUGACGGGGACCCGCACAAGCAGCGGAGCAUGUGGUUUAAUUCGAAGCAACGCGAAGAACCUUACCAAGGCUUGACAUCCCCUUGACAGAUGCAGAGAUGUAUCCUCCCCUUCGGGGGCAAGGGAGACAGGUGGUGCAUGGUUGUCGUCAGCUCGUGUCGUGAGAUGUUGGGUUAAGUCCCGCAACGAGCGCAACCCUUAUCCUUAGUUGCCAGCACAAAAGGUGGGCACUCUAAGGAGACUGCCGGUGAUAAACCGGAGGAAGGUGGGGAUGACGUCAAAUCAUCAUGCCCCUUAUGUCUUGGGCUACACACGUGCUACAAUGGUCGGUACAACGGGCAGCUAUGGAGCGAUCCGGAGCAAAUCCCAAUAAACCGAUCCCAGUUCGGAUUGCAGGCUGCAACUCGCCUGCAUGAAGUCGGAGUUGCUAGUAAUCGCGAAUCAGAACGUCGCGGUGAAUGCGUUCCCGGGUCU
rnacentral:rRNA from 1 species